rnacentral:rRNA from 1 species
GAUGAACGCUGGCGGCGUGCCUAAUACAUGCAAGUCGAGCGAACGGACGAGAAGCUUGCUUCUCUGAUGUUAUCGGCGGACGGGUGAGUAACACGUGGAUAACCUACCUAUAAGACUGGGAUAACUUCGGGAAACCGGAGCUAAUACCGGAUAAUAUUUUGAACCGCAUGGUUCAAAAGUGAAAGACGGUCUUGCUGUCACUUAUAGAUGGAUCCGCGCUGCAUUAGCUAGUUGGUAAGGUAACGGCUUACCAAGGCAACGAUGCAUAGCCGACCUGAGAGGGUGAUCGGCCAAACUGGAACUGAGACACGGUCCAGACUCCUACGGGAGGCAGCAGUAGGGAAUCUUCCGCAAUGGGCGAAAGCCUGACGGAGCAACGCCGCGUGAGUGAUGAAGGUCUUCGGAUCGUAAAACUCUGUUAUUAGGGAAGAACAUAUGUGUAAGUAACUGUGCACAUCUUGACGGUACCUAAUCAGAAAGCCACGGCUAACUACGUG